AGAGUUUGAUCCUGGCUCAGGAUGAACGCUGGCGGCGUGCCUAACACAUGCAAGUCGAACGAAGAGGCUCCUUCGGGAGUACUUCAGUGGCGGACGGGUGAGUAACACGUAGGUGACCUACCUCGAAGUGUGGGAUAACAGUCCGAAAGGAUUGCUAAUACCGCAUGUGGUCUGUGAUAUUAGAAAUUGCAGACUAAAGCAGCAAUGUGCUUCGAGAGGGGCCUGCGCCUCAUCAGCUAGUUGGUAGGGUAAUGGCCUACCAAGGCUACAACGGGUAGGGGGCCUGAGAGGGUGACCCCCCACAUUGGCACUGACACACGGGCCAAACUCCUACGGGGGGCAGCAGUGAGGAAUAUUGCUCAAUGGGCGAAAGCCUGAAGCAGCAACGCCGCGUGCGCGAUGAAGGUCUUCGGAUCGUAAAGCGCUUUUGAGAGGGACGAGAUAGGACGGUACCUCUUGAAUAAGUCACGGCUAACUACGUGCCAGCAGCCGCGGUAAAACGUAGGUGGCAAGCGUUAUCCGGAUUCACUGGGCGUAAAGCGCGUGCAGGUGGCUUCGUAAGUUGGACGUUAAAUCUCUCGGCUUAACCGGGAGGUGUCGUUCAAUACUGCGGGGCUUGAGGGCAGAAGAGGGGGGUGGAAUUGCUGGUGUAGUGGUGAAAUGCGUAGAUAUCAGCAGGAACACCUGUGGCGAAAGCGGCCCCCUGGUCUGCUCCUGACACUCAGACGCGAAAGCUAGGGGAGUGAACGGGAUUAGAAACCCCGGUAAUCCUAGCCGUAAACGAUGGAUGCUAGGUGUGGGUGGUAUUGACCCCAUCCGUGCCGAAGCCAACGCGUUAAGCAUCCCGCCUGGGGACUACGGCCGCAAGGUUAAAACUCAAAGGAAUUGAUGG
rnacentral:rRNA from 1 species